UUGCUUGUUGGCUUGCUGUAAAACUCAUGCUACUGGUUGUUGCUAUCUCUAAACGUCAUCAAUUCUUCAUCAUGGUAGUGGGGUUUCUGAUUUGUUCUUUUUCUUUUAUGGCAUGAUGCACUAGUGAGUGUGAGUAUCCAUGUCCAAACACAAACUCCAGCAUCUAUAUAUGGAUUUUAAUAGAACAACUGUUUUGAGUCAAUUCUGACAUUUUAUUAACAAAAUUUGUUUAGGGGGAGGGGGUUGCUUGCGAAUCUGAGAGAGUGUGAUGGCCCAAAUUCACCCCAUAAAUUUUCAUGGCUGAGCAGAGAACCUUGGUCUUCAGAGUUGCAGUCCAACAUUCAAAUUGCUACAUCAUGCUGGCUUUCUGAAUACUGUAAACACUUUAAAAUUGCAAAUCUAUCAAAUCAUAUAAAAGAAAAACCACUUAUCAAAAUAAAGGCUCCUAGUAUUAGGUAAAGGUAAAGGUUUUCCCCUGACAUUAAGUCCAAUUGUGUCCAACAAUUGGUUGGUGCUCAUCUCCAUUUCUAAGCCAAAGAGCCGGCGUUGUCCAUAGACGCCUUCAAGGUCAUGUGGCUGGCAUGAUUGCAUGGAGCACCUAGUAUUAUCUGAUGCUAAUUACUUAGAUAAUAAGUUCAGCAUUUUUAAUAAUAAAGAAUUUUGAGGCAAAGUUGUCCUGCAACAUUAAGUAUUAAAUGUGUACAACAAGGGCUGGUCCUACCAUUAGGUACAAUGAGGCAGAUGCUUCAAGCAGCAAUUUUGUGGUAUAGUGAAAUGGCAGUCCAUUGCUGAUUGUACAUUCACUGUUAGGGGCUUCUGGGUUUCUUUUCCUCAGAUUCUAAAACUGAAUGAAUCACCUUGGAUAAUCAGUCUAUCAAAAUGUCUUAAAUUUUCCACCAACACAGCAUAUAUGCCAGAGUUUCAAUUCGAUUAUUGAAAAAAAUUUAAACAGCUACCAAUUAGGGCUCUUUAGCAUUGCUGAAACCCAUAACAUUCCAAACAGUCCAAUGGUGGAGGCCUGUUAAAACAUCUGGCCAUUUUGUAGAGCAUCCAUUCUCCAGAGGAACCCUAAAAUGAGUGGCAUAACAAAUAGUGAAAUUAAGUGGGUUGAGUAAUAAUUGGUUGGUAAUGUUUCCUUUUUUUAAAAAAGAACAACUUUUCUUGCUAGACAUACUCAGUCCAUCAGUUAAGUGUAUAUGAAGAACCACAUUGUUUUGGGACCAUGGUGAGAAUAUAUAUGGAAUAGCAUCUUUCCAUUGAAAGAGCCAGAUUUCAGCCACAUAUCUUGUAACAUAACAAGGCUAGUUUGAUAUAAGGAUCUUCUUUAAUAUGAUGUAAUGUGUCUAAGUUUUAGAGACAUCUCCAGGGAACAUGCAAACUAAAAGUCUUUUAAGUGAAAUGGAAAAGCAGACUCCACAAAGAAAAUAUCAUGAAAAUGCCCCAUACUAGGGAAAAGCAUUACUAUGUUUGUGCACAUCGUAGUUGCACAUACUCAUUUCAAUGGAUCCUGUAUGAGAGAUUUGCCCAGGGGAUUAUGCCCAGGGUUAUUAAAUCUGUCCUUUGUUAGCCUCUGCUGCGAGAAUGCAAAAUAAACUCUCUGUCUGAUCAAGAAGGAAAGUAUCCAAAUGGAAGUUUUACUGUUCAUCAUGCAGUACACAUUGCCCUCCAAUAUUGUUUAAACCACAGGAUUUCUUCACUCACUAGUAACAGACAUCAGAAAAAAGACAAUGGAGAUGUAAUAAUGAAAAGAAAAAUAGCAAAGUCUUUAAUCACAGCUGCACAUGCAGCAUUGGUAUUCCUAGAAUGUUUUAGAAUAGAUAUGUACAUUUUUUCUGCCCAUCAAACACUUAAUAAAAGAUGGCUCCUCUAGGCAAUUUGCAAACUAUAGUAUCAUCUAGAUAUAUGUCAGUGUAAAUCAAGAACCUUCCAUUCACAGUUUUUUCUAAACAAGUACAGCAUAAUCUUUCCUACCCUUGUUUUUGUCAAAGCCUCAUAAAUCUAUCACAGUGUGCUGUCUUCUUAGAAUGCAGCCAAAAUCACAAAUAUUUUAAAGGUAUGGAAAAAAUACACAUUCAGCAAGACAAUCAUCGUAGGAGGAGCAGGUAAUUUUCACCACCUGAGUUAUAUAUUUCACUGUAACAUGACUUUAAUAGACAUCAACUAAUCAUGUUUAAAGUCUAACUCUUUAUUUUUUUUCUGUUUGCCCUUAAACUAUUCUUUUAGCUGACCUUAAUAUAUAUGUAAAAAUACACAAGACUUUCCUAUAAAUUGCUACCUAUGAGUACCCUCUACCCUGGAUAUUUAGGAUAGGAUUAGUUGGACAAGACAUAACUAUUAUUUUGUCAGUUUUAAGAUGCCACUCACUAAUUUCUUUAGAUUUUAGCCAUCUAGUUUAUCAGCUAAAUAAAACACCAGCAAAGCAUGUUUCGGGUCUUUUGAAAUCUUUCUGUAGUCUCUCUUUGAGUUUUAAUCUCUUUAAUUCUAAGAGUAUAUAAAGAAUUUAGAAUAUGAGGUAUCACCUUCUCUUGGAUGUAUAGUUUAUAGUUCUGUAUUUAUUGAAUUCAUCCAUGGGUUCCCUUAGGAUGUGAAAUGUAUGGAAAUAUAUGUGCAUUACUAAAGAAAGGCCUAAAUUUAUUCUUUCCCCACAUCAUGCUCUUCUUUGCAGUCGAGGUUUUUAAUUCAACACAGAGCUAGAAUGAGAUGGAGCCAAUUUCUUGGUCUAUAUGUGUGACAAAUGCUAAAAGUGGCACUAGAUUAACAAAUUAGUUGAAGUGUAGAUCUUAUAAGAUUUUUUUUAGAAAAAACUUUGUCUCUUUGAUAAAGAAACAUGCUUUACUUGCAAUUAUGCCUUCUUUACAUAUGUGUAGAAUGUGAGGAUCUUAUAUUUUCUACUAACAUGAAAAGGUGAUGUGUGGAAAAAUAGUAACCCGAAAUAAUAUUGGGUUGGUGAAUUAUAGAAAUAAUAUUGUAAUUGAGUACUGCUUGUCUUGAUUGCUUUAAGUUUCAGUGCUCAAUGCUUUGUUUUGUUUUGUUUGUAGGUAUUUAUGAUGAAGAAGAUGAUAGGGAUGGGUGAGCUACCUAAAACGAAAGCACGUGUCUGUGCUGGUGAAGGAGGGGGAUCCUACACAUCUUCUGCUCGGUGCAAUAUUUUAAAAAGAAAAGACCCAUGUGCGUAAGGUGUCAAAAUUACAAGUCUGAUCUAUUUUCAAUGAAGGAUGAAGAAUUUCAGAAUCUGGAGAACAAAGAAAAUGAACUCUUUGAGCCGAAUGGAAACUGGUUUAGAUAUUGAUUUUGAAAUAUGUUACAGUUUGUCUUUUUUGAUAAUCUAUUUGGCAUUCUAAGUUAUGAACACAGCAAUUCCCAGGAAUAUUUCUUUAAAUUGUCUACAUGUGUGUGCACACUCGCACACUCAUGGAACACACACCUGGCAAAUGUGUGGGGUUUUUUUUAAUAUAAAAGAUGCAUUUUAAAGAGGCUGUUUCUUCUUGCUCUUCUUCUAAAGAUCUCAAAAAGAAGAUACAAUUCUAGACCCCAGGUAGCAGAGACAUGCUGAAAGAUGACCAGCCUAGCCUUUACACACAGAUACACACACACACACAUUUCUCGCUUCCUGACACCCGGAGAAUAGCCUUAUCCCUUCUCGAAGAUUUCAUUGAGAACAAUUCACAUAGGAAAGGGGAAAGUAUGCAGGCAGGACUGAAAUAACUGGAUAUUCAAGCAGCAAAAAAGACAGGUGUGGUUUGGGAAUUUCUUGUCCUUGUGGCAGCUGUUAUUCAUGUCUAUGUUACCUUAAUAGGCUGAUUUUUUACUUUUAAUUAAUUAAAUAAUAUAUUUUAUUAUACAUAUAAAACUGGAAGCAGACAUCUUACAUGAAUUAUUCUGUCCAAUCCUGGAGGUAGCUCAGUUUCGUCAUAUAUUUAUACGUUUACUUAUUUGCAGGGCAAGGAGGAGCAUACUAGUAUGUUCUUCAAUAUAUUAUGUUAAUUUGCAUGCUCUAUAUCUAGCAAAUGCUGCUUCAAUUACAAGUUUAUAUGUCAUUUUAAAUACUAUAAGUUGUGUUUGUUCUGUUGAGUCCAUAAUAUUGCAAAUCCAGAUAAAGUUCUGUAAUUUUGAUCGUGCUGCUCUCAUAACAGCAAAAGCAACCUAAAGCACACAGUCCAAUAAUAAUCAUAAUUAUGAUUUGUUUGUUUUUGCUAAAUUCCUACUGUCAACUCAAGAGUUAAGAUGCAAGCUUCCAUUCAAUUGUAUUUAAAUCUGAUUAACUGUGGCUGGAUCAUUAUCAUAAUAAUGCCAAUGACGCUGUAUGUUUGAUGUGCUAUAUGAAACUGCAUUUUGGAAAACCAUAAAUGUGUAUAAACAAUUACACACAAUUAUGCACAGUAUCAGCAGAUACUGGCCUUGCAUAAGUAGAAGACAUUGGCCUAUAACUUUAUGUAUGUAAGAUUAAUAUUUUUGAAAUGAUUAAAAUUGUCUAUCAAUUUUAUCGUGCCUUUUUUAUGAAAUGGUAGAACAUACAAAAAUGUUAUUCUGCAUUUGAUACCUUUUAAAGCAACAUCAGGUUAUGUUUGACAUGCUGCAAUUAAUCUUUAUGGGUGUGAUAGUGCUUUAAAAGUAGAAAACUGGAGUCUGAAGCUUUUUAAAUACUAUUGGUGGCAAUAUGAGCAGCUUCUUUUCAAGCAAUCAAAAGAUAAAUUCAUUUUCUUUAUAAAUCUAUAUGAUCUCCAUAAAAUUGAAUGUUCCUAAGGACAAUUGUCUCAAAAUAAGGUGUUUUUCAAGAAAAAAAACUAUGAAUAAACUAAGAACUAAUUUACCUUGCUUUCCUGUUUAAUAUAAAAUGCCAUAUAUAUUUGAAGGAAGAAAAUUGCUUAAAUUUAGGGAAGAUUUGCCUCAGCAACUCUAGCAUUAUCAAAAUACUAUUAUCUGGGUCAUUUAUUAGCAUGGUGCUGUUAGUUCUCCUAGUUUAUUGAAUUUUGAGAAAGGAGACUUGAUUUUAUUAAAACUUGCAAAUUUUAUAUCAGGUAAGGGGUAUUUAUGAUGUCAACAUGUGCCAGUCAGUAUUAGUGUUUCAAAUCCCCUAAGAAAAGACAGAGGUGUGUCUAAACUUGCUUGCUAAUAUGGCCAACUUCUAGAAAACCAUAUUAUUAAAUACCAUUUAUGUCCUCAAGGUAAGCAUCAACUGAGAAAAAUAUCAUAUUGUUUAUGAUCUAUCUAAAGCCAAAUUAGAUAUAAAACAGUCUAAAUGGUUUCCUGCUCUGUUUAAGCAGUCUCCAUAGAUGUUCAUACAGUGCACUGAAUAGGGCGAAGCUAUUAAAGGAACUGUAAUUGCCUUCCUGAAGUAAUAAUAUAUCUGAUACAAAUGUCAAUAUAACCCUCAAGAAUUCACAAGUUCUGUUCCAAGUGUAGUGAUUUGGUUUUACAGCAUGGCCAUACACAUGUUUACUUAGGAGAAAGUUUCCUUCAUUUCAAUUGUACUUGCUGAUUGGCAGGAUAUGUAUUUAGGAUUGUAUCUGUAGGAUAUUUUAUACAUGUGUAAAUAUUUGCCCUUACUGCAUAUGAGAUAUCAUAUUCUUCUGUUUUUCUUAAUGUGUAUGUGCAUAAAAAUAGAAGAAAUGGAAAGGCACGUGACAAUUAAAGAAUUUCACAGA